UGCAUAUCAAUAAGCGGAGGAAAAGAAACUAACAAGGAUUCCCCUAGUAGCGGGCGAGAGAAGCGGGAAGAGCUCAAAAUUUAUAAUCUGGCACCUUCGGUGUCCGAGUUGUAAUCUCUAGAAAUGUUUUCCGCGUUGGACCGCACACAAGUCUGUUGGAAUACAGCGGCAUAGUGGUGAGACCCCCGUAUAUGGUGCGGACGCCCAGCGCUUUGUGAUACAUUUUCGAAGAGUCGAGUUGUUUGGGAAUGCAGCUCAAAUUGGGUGGUAAAUUCCAUCUAAAGCUAAAUAUUGGCGAGAGACCGAUAGCGAACAAGUACCGUGAGGGAAAGAUGAAAAGCACUUUGGAAAGAGAGUUAACAGUACGUGAAAUUGUUGGAAGGGAAACGCUUGAAGUCAGACUUGCUUGCCGAGCAAUCGGUUUGCAGGCCAGCAUCAGUUUUCCGGGAUGGAUAAUGGUAGAGAGAAGGUAGCAGUUUCGGCUGUGUUAUAGCUCUCUGCUGGAUACAUCUUGGGGGACUGAGGAACGCAGUGUGCCUUUGGCGGGGGUUUCGACCUCUUCACACUUAGGAUGCUGGUGGAAUGGCUUUAAACGACCCGUCUUGAAACACGGACC
rnacentral:rRNA from 1 species